AUGACGAUCCGAAAGGUGUACUAAUACCGCAUAAGACCACGGGAUCACAUGGUUCUGAGGUAAAAGAUUUAUCGGUUUGGGGUGGGCUCGCGUCCGAUUAGGUAGUUGGUGAGGUAACGGCCCACCAAGCCGACGAUCGGUAGCCGACCUGAGAGGGUGAUCGGCCACAUUGGGACUGAGACACGGCCCAAACUCCUACGGGAGGCAGCAGUGGGGAAUAUUGGGCAAUGGAGGAAACUCUGACCCAGCAACGCCGCGUGGAGGAAGAAGGUUUUCGGAUCGUAAACUCCUGUCCUUGGAGACGAGUAGAAGACGGUAUCCAAGGAGGAAGCCCCGGCUAACUACGUGCCAGCAGCCGCGGUAAUACGUAGGGGGCAAGCGUUGUCCGGAAUAAUUGGGCGUAAAGGGCGCGUAGGCGGCUCGGUAAGUCUGGAGUGAAAGUCCUGCUUUUAAGGUGGGAAUUGCUUUGGAUACUGUCGGGCUUGAGUGCAGGAGAGGUUAGUGGAAUUCCCAGUGUAGCGGUGAAAUGCGUAGAGAUUGGGAGGAACACCAGUGGCGAAGGCGACUAACUGGACUGUAACUGACGCUGAGGCGCGAAAGUGUGGGGAGC
rnacentral:rRNA from 1 species